CAAAACAUCGUGCCAAUGGUUGCCUAUGCCUGCUCUAGUUUAUCCCAAUCCAGUUCAAGCCACACAACGGUUCAGGUUUCGUUACUAUCCUCAUUGUAACAGAAUUGGGCUAAGCCUAAAUCUGAACUGUGCUUUGAUGACUGGUUUGGGAGGCACUGCAUUAGUUUAUCACAUGAGAUUACUUGUAGCAUUGAUUGCUAUUGUUCCACAUCUGCUACUAUUAAAGGAACACUAAGCACCAUGGAGCAUGCCCUGGUACCCUCUCACCCCAUUGUAAGUAAUUAAAGGAACUCUAUAGGGUCAGGAACACAAACAUUUAUUCCUGACCCCAUAGUGUUAAAAUUUCACUUUUGAGAAAGCUUCAGCGAAACGCGUCAAGUGAGGAAGAAUUUUGGACUUUUAAACAGGAC